UACAGAGGGGGGCAAGCGUUGUUCGGAAUUACUGGGCGUAAAGGGCGCGUAGGCGCCUGUUAAGUCGAACGUGAAAUCCCCGGGCUCAACCCGGGAACUGCGUCCGAUACUGGCAGGCUUGAAUUCGGGAGAGGGAUGUGGAAUUCCGGUGUAGCGGUGAAAUGCGUAGAUAUCUGGAGGAACACCGGUGGCGAAGGCGCGAUCCUGGA
rnacentral:rRNA from 1 species